rnacentral:rRNA from 1 species
AAAUAGGCCAUAAAAUUUGAGGAUAGAAACCAACCUGGCUUACGCCGGUCUGAACUCAGAUCAUGUAAGAAAUCAAAAGUCGAACAGACUUUCCAACAAAACUUCUGCACCUUGCUAAUUUCUUAAUCCAACAUCGAGGUCGCAAACCUUUUGAUUUUAGUCAAUUCUAUGAGUUUAACUAGGCCCAAAUAUUUGUUUCCUAAAACUUACUAC